rnacentral:rRNA from 1 species
UAUCUCUGUAGAGUCUGCAUAUCAAUAAGCGGAGGAAAAGAAACUAACAAGGAUUCCCUUAGUAACGGCGAGCGAAGCGGGAAGAGCUCAAAUUUGAAAUCUUCAAGGUUUUACCUUGACGAAUUGUAGUUUAAAGAAGUGUUUUCUGUUGAAGUUUCGGUAAAAGUUCUUUGGAAUAGGACAUCAUAGAGGGUGAGAAUCCCGUAUUUGACCGUUAUUUUCAGCUAUGUGAUACACUUUCAAAGAGUCGGAUUGUUUGGGAAUGCAGUCCAAAAUGGGUGGUAAAUUUCAUCUAAAGCUAAAUAUUGGCGAGAGACCGAUAGCGAACAAGUACCGUGAGGGAAAGAUGAAAAGAACUUUGAAAAGAGAGUUAAACAGUACGUGAAAUUGUCAAAAGGGAAGCGUUUGACACCAGUGUUGUUUUCUCGAAAAUCAAUUAAAAUAGUCUUGAUUUGUAAGUUAGUAUUGACCUUUCAUAAGCUUGCUGCCUUUUUCUCAUGUAACUUAUUGAAUGCACUUUUCAGUUAACAAGUCAACAUCAAUUUCUUUUGUUGUAAAAAGGGUCAGUAGGAAGGUGGCUUGCGCUUUCGGAUAAAGUGUUUAUAGCCUUUUAUCUUCUGCAAUCGGAGAGACUGAGGUCUGCAGCGUAGAUCCUUCGGGAUUAGAUUACAUUGGUGCUAAGUUACUAGCCUUGUAUAGACAACUUGUUGACUAUGAUUCAGAUCCUGUAGCUUACUCGCUGAUGUAUUUUACCUACGCUUAGGAUGUUGAUAUGCAUGACUGAUAU